rnacentral:rRNA from 1 species
UACGAAGGGUGCAAACGUUGCUCGGAAUUAUUGGGCGUAAAGCGCACGUAGGCGGCUUUGCAAGUCGGAUGUGAAAUCCCUCGGCUUAACCAAGGAAGUGCAUCCGAAACUGCAGAGCUUGAGUACUUAAGAGGAUCGCGGAAUUCCCGGUGUAGAGGUGAAAUUCGUAGAUAUCGGGAGGAACACCAGUGGCGAAGGCGGCCACCUGGACGGUAACUGACGCUGAGACGCGAAAGCGUGGGGAGCAAACAGG